AUGUACUUGGGUCGCUGGGGCUGCACCUUGCCAACCAGCUGUCAUCCCCUGCACAAAAGCGGGUCAUAA
rnacentral:rRNA from 1 species